AACUCACUUUUAAUAGAAGAAACCAGCCACUUAUAAUCGCUUACACACUACUAUUUUCACCCCUCAGUCUAUUUUAACAAAUGUUAAAAGGCGCAUGGUGGUCCUUGGGGACUCCUCCUGUCACCCCAGUGCAGCAGCCCGAAGGGAGCUGGGUGGUUGCACACAAUCCUUGGUGGUU